UACGAAGGGUGCAAGCGUUACUCGGAAUUACUGGGCGUAAAGCGUGCGUAGGUGGUCUGUUAAGUCUGAUGUGAAAGCCCUGGGCUCAACCUGGGAAUUGCAUUGGAUACUGGCAGGCUAGAGUGCGGUAGAGGGUAGUGGAAUUCCCGGUGUAGCAGUGAAAUGCGUAGAGAUCGGGAGGAACACCAGUGGCGAAGGCGACUACCUGGACCAGCACUGACGCUGAAGCACGAAAGCGUGGGGAGCAAACAGG
rnacentral:rRNA from 1 species